UACGUAGGGAGCAAGCGUUGUCCGGAAUCAUUGGGCGUAAAGCGCGCGUAGGCGGCCCUGUAAGUCCGUUGUGAAAGUCAAAGGCUCAACCUUUGAAAGCCGAUGGAUACUGCAGGGCUAGAGUCCGGAAGAGGCGAGUGGAAUUCCUGGUGUAGCGGUGGAAUGCGCAGAUAUCAGGAGGAAUACCAAUAGCGAAGGCAGCUCGCUGGGACGGUACUGACGCUAAGGCGCGAAAGCGUGGGGAGCGAACAGG
rnacentral:rRNA from 1 species